GUGCCAAGCAGCCGCGGUAAUUCCAGCUCCAAUAGCGUAUAUUAAAGUUGCUGCAGUUAAAAAGCUCGUAGCUGAACCUUGGGCCUGGUUGACCGGUCCGCCUAACGGUGUGCACUGGCUUGACCGGGCCUUUCCUUCUGGCUAGCCUGUAUGUCCUUUAUUGGGUGUGCAGGGGAACCAGGACUUUUACUUUGAAAAAAUUAGAGUGUUCAAAGCAGGCUUAUGCUCGAAUACAUUAGCAUGGAAUAAUAGAAUAGGACGUGUGGUUCUAUUUUGUUGGUUUCUAGGACCGCCGUAAUGAUUAAUAGGGACAGUUGGGGACAUUAGUAUUGAGUUGUCAGAGGUGAAAUUCUUGGAUUUACUCAAGACUAACUACUGCGAAAGCAUUUGUCAAGGAUGUUUUCAUUAGUCAAGAACGAAAGUUAGGGGAUCGAAGACGAUCAGAUACCGUCGUAGUCUUAACCAUAAACUAUGCCGACUAGGGAUCGGGCGAUGUUCUUUUCUUGACUCGCCCGGCACCUUAUGAGAAAUCAAAGUUUUUGGGUUCCGGGGGGAGUAUGGUCGCAAGGCUGAAACUUAAAGAAAUUGACGGAAGGGCACCACCAGGAGUGGAGCCUGCGGCUUAAUUUGACUCAACACGGGGAAACUCACCAGGUCCAGACAAAGUAAGGAUUGACAGAUUGAUAGCUCUUUCUUGAUUCUUUGGGUGGUGGUGCAUGGCCGUUCUUAGUUGGUGGAGUGAUUUGUCUGCUUAAUUGCGAUAACGAACGAGACCUUAACCUGCUAAAUAGCCCGACUAGCUUUUGCUGCUCGCUGGCUUCUUAGAGGGACUAUUGGCAUAAAGCCAAUGGAAGUUUGAGGCAAUAA
rnacentral:rRNA from 1 species